rnacentral:rRNA from 1 species
GACGUAGGUGGCAAGCGUUGUCCGGAUUUACUGGGCGUAAAGGGCGCGUAGGCGGCCUGCUAAGUCGAACGUGAAAUCCCCGGGCUCAACCCGGGAACUGCGUCCGAUACUGGCAGGCUUGAAUUCGGGAGAGGGAUGCGGAAUUCCAAGUGUAGCGGUGAAAUGCGUAGAUAUCUGGAGGAACACCGGUGGCGAAGGCGGCAUCCUGGACCGAAAUUGACGCUGAGGCGCGAAAGCGUGGGGAGCGAACAGG